CUCGGGGAUUGUACACACCGCCCGUCAAGUCACGGAAGUCGGCAACACCCAAAGUCAGUGGCCUAACCAUUUGGAGGGAGCUGCCUAAGGUGGGGUCGGUAACUGGGACU
rnacentral:rRNA from 1 species